rnacentral:rRNA from 1 species
UACGAAGGGGGCUAGCGUUGCUCGGAAUGACUGGGCGUAAAGGGCGCGUAGGCGGCGGGGUAAGUCUGGUGUGAAAUCUCGGAGCUCAACUCCGAAAUUGCACUGGAUACUGCUCUGCUAGAGGGCUGGAGAGGAGAUCGGAAUUCACGGUGUAGCAGUGAAAUGCGUAGAUAUCGUGAGGAAGACCAGUGGCGAAGGCGGAUCUCUGGACAGCUCCUGACGCUGAGGCGCGAAGGCUAGGGGAGCAAACGGG